GAAUGUGAGUGUGAUCUGGCUGCCCUACCUAACACUUCAUCGACGGCCAGGGUGGAUUUGGCUGAUCUUGCUGGCUAGGUAAGUGUCCACUUUCUCCCGCACUGCUCUAUGUGUGUCCCUCCAAGGCUGCACAUUAAUGUUUGCUCAAAGAGGACAACCUUCCCCGAGAGAGAAGGACCAGCCUUCAGGCGGGGGUAUAAAAGAAGCUGUGCUCUCCUGCUAAAAUCUCCAAACAAGCUCUCGAGACCUACUCGUAGGAGAAUGCAGACCGGUCAAAUUUCCAAAACUCCACACACAUUCAAGUAAGAAUGCUUGUAACAGCUUGGCUUUCUUU
rnacentral:snRNA from 1 species